AAACUGCCUCUCUCCAAAAGAGGUCUUGAAGGUUCGAAUCCUUCCGCCCCUG
rnacentral:tRNA from 1 species